CGCGCCACCAGUAGAUCUUUCAACCUACGAAUUUGAUCCUUGUUUCCCUUGCCCACUGGAAGAGCAGCCAGAGACCACGUUAUAAAAAAAGGACCAUGCCAGCCAACCCGCGACGUAGAUUAUCCAAAAGACAGAUUUAAUCGAAAAUUUCUCUCAUCGUGCAUGAGUAUUCAAAGUCAUCUGAUAUAGCGUUUUGUUUCUACUGCCGAGUUUUCAACGGACAGGUAUAUAACACAUCGUAUAUAUAGAGUAAACACGUCUGGCGAUAUUUGCAUUUGAA